rnacentral:rRNA from 1 species
GUCUUCAUGUUUUAUGUUUAUGAAGUUUAAUCUGCCCACUGAUAAUUAUUUAAAGGGCCGCGGUAUUUUGACCGUGCAAAGGUAGCGUAAUCAUUAGUCUUUUAAUUGGGGGCCUGUAUGAACGAUUGAACAAGAAAUAUUCUGUCUUAAUAAAAUUUAUUGAAGUUAACUUUUAAGUAAAAAGGCUUAGAUGGGUUAAAGUGACGAUAAGACCCUAUAAAACUUUAUAAUUUUUAAUUGAAAAGAUGCAUUGGUUGUUCAAUUUUUUUCAGUAAAUUUUAUUUUAUUGGGGCGAUAGAAAUAUAAAGAGUAACUGUUUUUAAUGUUUGAAUGAUUAUUAUUAGAGAAUUAAUGAUCCUUUAUUAGAGAUUAUAAGAUUAAGUUACUUUAGGGAUAACAGCGUAAUUUUCUUUGAGAGUUCAUAUCUACAAGAAAGAUUGCGACCUCGAUGUUGAAUUAAAAAUUCUUUAAGGUGUAGAAGCUUUAAUGGAAGGUCUGUUCGACCUUUAAAUUUUU